AUACGGAGGAUGCAAGCGUUAUCCGGAUUUAUUGGGUUUAAAGGGUGCGUAGGCGGUUUGCUAAGCGGGAGGUGAAAUGCCGGUGCUCAACGUCGGAAGUGCCUCCCGAACUGGUGGACUUGAAUGACUCUGCCGUGGGAGGAAUGUGUAGUGUAGCGGUGAAAUGCUUAGAGAUUACACAGAACACCGAUUGCGAAGGCAUCUCACGAAGGGUUGAUUGACGCUGAGGCACGAAAGCGUGGGGAUCAAACAGGAUUAGAUACCCUGGUAGUCCACGCAGUAAACGAUGAUGGCUAACCGCUGGGCUUAUCAGUUCAGUGGCCAAGCGAAAGCGAUAAGACAUCCACAUGGGGAGUACGACCGCAAGGUUGAAACUCAAAUGAAUUGACGGGG
rnacentral:rRNA from 1 species